rnacentral:rRNA from 1 species
GACGAACGCUGGCGGCGUGCUUAACACAUGCAAGUCGAACGGAAAGGCCCUGCUUUUGUGGGGUGCUCGAGUGGCGAACGGGUGAGUAACACGUGAGUAACCUGCCCUUGACUUUGGGAUAACUUCAGGAAACUGGGGCUAAUACCGGAUAGGAGCUCCUGCUGCAUGGUGGGGGUUGGAAAGUUUCGGCGGUUGGGGAUGGACUCGCGGCUUAUCAGCUUGUUGGUGGGGUAGUGGCUUACCAAGGCUUUGACGGGUAGCCGGCCUGAGAGGGUGACCGGCCACAUUGGGACUGAGAUACGGCCCAGACUCCUACGGGACGCAGCAGUGGGGAAUAUUGCACAAUGGGAGGAAGCCUGAUGCAGCAACGCCGCGUGCGGGAUGACGGCCUUCGGGUUGUAAACCGCUUUCGCCUGUGACGAAGCGUGAGUGACGGUAAUGGGUAAAGAAGCACCGGCUAACUACGUG